CUGCAACGUGUCACUGCUUUCCUAUCUUUCAACACUGACUGGAUGUCCUCCUGCUUUCUGAAACUCAAUCUCUCUAAAACAGAGCUCCUUGUCAUUCCUCCUCCUAAUACUGAUCCUCCUCUUUCGCUCUCCCUUCAAGUUAGUGGUAUCCACAUAAGUCCAUCCUUGCAAGUGCGCUGUCUUGGCGUCAUACUUGACUCUGGCCUCACAUCCAGUAUGUAGCCGAAUCCUGUAGAUUCCAUCUUAAAAACAUAGCCCACAUUCGCCCCUUUCUUACGCAAGAUG